rnacentral:rRNA from 1 species
CAGUAGCCGCGGUAAUACGAAGGGUGCAAGCGUUACUCGGAAUUACUGGGCGUAAAGCGUGCGUAGGUGGUGGGUUAAGUCCGUUGUGAAAGCCCUGGGCUCAACCUGGGAAUUGCAGUGGAUACUGGAUCACUAGAGUGUGGUAGAGGAUAGUGGAAUUUCCGGUGUAGCAGUGAAAUGCGUAGAGAUCGGAAGGAACAUCUGUGGCGAAGGCGACUAUCUGGGCCAACACUGACACUGAGGCACGAAAGCGUGGGGAGCAAACAGGAUUAGAUACCCCCGUAGUCCCUGUCUCUUAUAA